rnacentral:sRNA from 1 species
AGUUGAUUCCUGUCAGUUUAGCACCUGCCUGGGGCCUUGUUUAAGGAUAAACUUGAGAACUUUCAGCGUUGACAGGGUCAACAGAAGCAAGCCUUUGGAAGGAUGCAAGACUGGGUGUGGCUAACCUAAAGUGUUGUGAAAACAGGAGUCUGGAGAGCGGGAGAGCAGUGGCCCAAGACCUCUCAAGGUACAUUUUAGCCAUCCUGAUCAACGAGUGGGUGGUGGCUGAUGAACCAGGCUGCUGUUAAUCCAGACCUGGGCUUGUUACCCUCUCUGUCCCUCCUGAUCCCUCACCGCCUCUACCAAAAGUAGAGAACCAUCAGAACCACCCCUGAGGACUCCAUAGCCUUCCCAACCAGGCUCCAAGCUCACUGCAGAGACAUCCAUGGGGACACACAAAGAAGCCACUCCUGCAUAUUCAGGAUACAUGCGAUGAUGUCCGAGGCCCGGCCACAGCAGGAGGAGAAAGGCAAACCACAUGGCUUCAGUCUCAGCAGAAG